UCCCUGGUGGUCCAGUGGUUAAAACUCUGCACUUCCAGUGCAGGGGGCCUGGGUUUGAUCCCCAGUCAAGGAA
rnacentral:tRNA from 1 species